UUUGCUUUUUGAACGCUCGCGUGUGUCGGAGCACACCUCGUUUCCGGGUUAAGGCAGAGGCAUCUUUGACGCAAGCAGGUAGCGUGAGCUGGACCGCCGCCCGUCUCUCACCUGUAAUUACACCUGGUGGCGGAUCCGCCGGCAGUUCUGAUGUUGAGGUGAAGAGUUGAAACCUUAAUCACUGUUUUGGUUGAGCUGCAUGGUGUGUCUGUGGAGGAAGGCUUCUUGUCUGCAAACAGCUUGAAGAAGAAACUCCGUUACAGAAAACUUCUGGUUCUGGUUUCCAGGUUCUGGAGCAGCUAAACGAGCCCACAUCAUCAUUCCUCCACCACCGUGCUGGACAGGUUAAAGGCAGGCUAACCGACAGGCUCUGAGCGGAACGUCAGACUCUCAGCUCUGAAUCUGCUGAGACUCUGACAUGUUUUCCUCUUGAGAAUAAUCUUCCUCUCUGCAGACUUCAGAUGGUCUGGAGAUGACCUUUGAACCCUUCCCAGGUUGAUGGGCAGCAACAUUUGUUUCUCUGAGGUGCAGCCAAUCAGAGCAGCUCUGCUGAAAACACACAAGGCCGGGGGUCCAGACUGCAGAACCGGGUCAAAGCUCCGAACAGGAAUGCCGCCGCGGCCCUUUGACUAGGACACAGACCUCAACAUGAACCUGCCGCCAAACACAACUGACUCCAGCUCCACUCAGAAGGAAGUUCUACACACAGAUCCCUCAUCCUGCUCCGAGUCCCUCGGCUGCCUUGUGGUAACUCCAGACUGACCCGUUUAUUGAGGAGAGGCUCUCAUACAGCUGCUCUGUCAAACAGGCCUGAUUGGUGGAUUUCUGCAGCGAUGGUUGAGAUUCUCCUCUGGUGCUCUGACAGAUUGGCCCUGGGGGUCAGCAGGCUCCAAACGUCCUCCAUUGACCAGUGAUGGAGGCCGCUGAGCUCACUGGACCUCAGAACAGCAGAAAUGUUUCUGGAUCCGUCCACAGGAGUUUCACUUCAUAAUGAACCAAAGUCCCUGAACUGUCAGUCAGUGUCACCCCACCCACUCUGAAGUCCAACCGGGCUGAAUAAGUGAAAGCACCUGUGUGAGAGAAACUCCAACCCAGAUUCAUGUAGAGACAACUGAACACAUGCAUGCAGACGGAGCGGUAAGGCAACUGGAACUGGUGAGAAGGGUUUCAACGUGCCGCCGGCUGGGUGUGGCGCCUCAACAGAGUUCAUGAAUUAAAUGAACUCUUGAACUGUAGUCUGGAAUGUGGCAGGCAGAAAGUCAGCCAGACAAACCAAACGGGAACAUUCAUGCACCCCUCGCCGUCUGAACUCUCACGUCUGAUCUGGCUGCUGUUUUAAAGACCCUCCAUGUCGGCGUCAGACUGAACUGAGCCCGUUCACAUCAGAAACUGGACGAAAGGUCAAAGUUCAGCAUUUUCACUCUAAUAUAUUGUCACAACUGCAAGAUGCCAACCAAAGACAUUUCUCAUCAGACGGUAAAAUACUGGAAUCUAAGAUCCGUGACCUUCAGGUUCUUCAGCAGAUCCUGAACUGUAAUCAGUGUUUACAGCAAACACUUUCACUGAAUUACAGAUUAUUUAAAUAGUUUGUAAUAUUAGUAGAUAUCUUUGGCAAAAUUUACAACUUACUGAAACUUGAACUUUACUUUCCCAUAACUUCCAGGUAACACCUCAAUCUACAGGUUAUAAAUCAUGAAACCAGAACUUUACAAAUGACUUGAGAUUUACAGAUUACUUUCCCAGAAUUCCCAGUUUCUUGAAACCUGGAUGUUAUGUUUCCAUCAUUUCCAGGUGUUAUGACCACAGUAUUUAAGUUACGUUCCAGUUUUCUCCAAUAUGUUUUCUGAACCUACAGAUUACUCACCAGAAGUUUACGAGUUACAUUCCAUGGAGUUUAAUUACUGGAUGUUGAGCGUUUCUUUGUCAUGACUUCAUUUUACACCUGACAUUCCUGAGAACCGUCCCAGAUUAAGUUUUCUGAUUCCUUCACUGGAACGUCUGUGAUUUUCUCCACAUCUUUCCUGAAACUGUGAGACUUGAUUCCAGAUGUUUACAGAACUUACCAGAACUUUGUGAAUUAGAGAUGCAUGUCUUUAUACUUUUGAUACUUCUGUUUUGCAUUCCUGGAGUUUAAAUAUCUGAACUAAUAAAUUGCAUUUCUGGAACCAACACAGUGCUGCCUUUUGGAAACUUUUAGAAACUUUUGGUUAUUUCUGAGGAAUUCUUCCAUUGGCAGAACAACAGUUCAUGUUUUGAGCUAAAGC